CUAAUACCGCAUAAGCCCGGGAGGGGAAAGCCGCAAGGCGCCGAAGGAGGAGUUCGCGGCCGAUUAGCUAGUUGGUAAGGUAAUGGCUUACCAAGGCUGAGAUCGGUAGCCGGCCUGAGAGGGCACACGGCCACACUGGCACUGAAACACGGGCCAGACUCCUACGGGAGGCAGCAGUGGGGAAUCUUGCACAAUGGGGGAAACCCUGAUGCAGCGACGCCGCGUGAGCGAUGAAGCCCUUCGGGGUGUAAAGCUCUUUCGGCAGGAACGAUAAUGACGGUACCUGCAGAAGAAGCUGCGGCUAACUACGUGCCAGCAGCCGCGGUAAUACGUAGGCAGCGAGCGUUGUUCGGAGUUACUGGGCGUAAAGAGUGCGUAGGCGGUUACGCAAGUUCGGUGUGAAAUCUCCCGGCUCAACUGGGAGGGUGCGCCGGAAACUGCGGAGCUAGAGUGCGGGAGAGGAGAGCGGAAUUCCUGGUGUAGCGGUGAAAUGCGUAGAUAUCAGGAGGAACACCGGCGGUGUAGACGGCUCUCUGGACCGUGACUGACGCUGAGGCACGAAAGCGUGGGGGGCAAACAGGAUUAGAUACCCUGGUAGUCCACGCCCUAAACGAUGCACACUUGGUGUGGGCCAUUCAGUUGGUCCGUGCCGGAGCUAACGCGUUAAGUGUGCCGCCUGGGGAGUACGGUCGCAAGGCUGAAACUCAAAUGAAUUGACGG
rnacentral:rRNA from 1 species